UACGAAGGGGGCUAGCGUUGCUCGGAAUCACUGGGCGUAAAGGGCGCGUAGGCGGCCUGUUAAGUCGAACGUGAAAGCCCCGGGCUCAACCUGGGAAUUGCAUUCGAGACUGCAUAGCUAGGGUGCGGAAGAGGGAAGCGGAAUUUCCGGUGUAGCGGUGAAAUGCGUAGAUAUCGGAAGGAACACCAGUGGCGAAAGCGGCUUCCUGGUCCAGCACCGACGUUCAGGCACGAAAGCGUGGGGAGCAAACAGG
rnacentral:rRNA from 1 species